AUGAAACUGUGGGGUCUUCUCCUUUGCCUUGUGACAGCUCCCAGUGGUGUCCUGUCCGAGGUGCAGCUGCAGGAGUCGGGCCCAGGACUGGUGAAGCCCUCGCAGACCCUCUCCCUCACCUGCACCGUCUCUGGUUACUCCAUCACAACCAGUGGUUACUACUGGAGCUGGAUCCGCCAGCUCUCAGGGAAGGGGCUUGAGUGGAUGGGAUACAUUAGUUAUGAAGGAAGCACCGGUUAUAACCCGUCCAUCAAGAGCCGCACCUCCAUCACCAGAGACACGUCCAAGAACCAGUUCUUCCUGCAGCUGAGCUCUGUGACCACCGAGGACACAGGCGUGUAUUACUGUGCGAGAGACACAAACGGCUCCUUCCUCCCUUUCUCUGCUCUGAACAUGUGCACCGUGUCCGUGGGGAAGCCUCCACUGCUGCUGGAGGGUGUUGACCAAGCUGUUGCUACCAGUGCCACCGGGACCCUCCGCAAGGCCACUGCCACCACCACCUCCUCGACCUGA